GUGUGUGGGCCCUUCUCCAAAUGCAAGAAGGGAACCUCUUUAGAAAGAAAGGAAUGAAUGAAAGAAAAAGGAAUAUUCAUCUCAGAGAGGAGGUGAAAGGGGGAACAUUUUUUCUUCUUCCUGCUACCGUAGGUGACCCCAGAUUCUUGCUCCAGAGACACCGGAGUUCACUGGCACGUGCCCAGUUGCCAGCAAUUGUUUAAAGGAAAAAAAAAAAAAGCUUGUCUCUUCGUUCCACACUCUCAGGCAAAGCCAAAAGUAAGCAGAAAAAACCGGGGGGAAGUGGGACACGGGCUUCAAAGGACAAAAGUGAAAGAAGCAGAAUCCACGUCCACCCUCUCCGGCUUCUCCCCCGUGCUCUUCGGGCGAAUUCGAGGGGCGGGCGCAGCACUGGCGAAAGUUUGUUCCACCCGCGUUCGCCGCUAGCUGCGUGGAGAGGAGGAGGAGGAGAGGGAGGGUCGAUCUCCAAGCCUGUGGCUGCAAGGAUGACUGAGCCGGCGCCGCGCUUACCUCACAGUCUUCGUACUUGAUAUUAUCCGUCAGUUUCCAAAGCAUUUUCAUGGAUCGGCGUGAUCGGAUUUGCCCCUUUGCGCCUCGCACCCCAGCGGAGCUACUCUCUAGCCUAAUCGCCUCAUUAGCAUAUCAACAAUAGUCCAAUUGCUCGCCAGUACCACAAUCUGCCGCCGGCCGCUCCGACCCAGGUAUAAAGGCCUCUUCUAGCCGCGAACUUGCUCCCAGAGCACACGCCUGCACGCCUGUCUGCUAGCCCAACAGCUCUGCCCAGAGCUCCACCACCCUCCCUUGCUCCGGCUGCCCCACCCCGGCCCAAUUUCAUCCCUUUCCCCUUUGCCUGUCUUCGGAUCCUGCCAGCCAAAGAUGCCUUGGAUUAAGCUCGGUACUACGCAGGGUACCAGCGGCGGAGCCAAGGAACCAACUUUUAGUACCCCCUACCCCUGCUACUACAGCCGCCACUAACCGAUCUGCCUUUCGUCCCCUUCCGAUUUUAUUAGAAAUCAUUAUCCCUUUCGCAAUGAAUCGUAACCACCAAACCAGGACCAGCAAAGUCACUCCAGGAUUUUUGCCCAACUGGAGAUCGCCUCCGCUCACGGCUGUUACCCCCUCGGGCUGCAGCGCCCUGGGAGUUUUAUUAGCUUUGCGCUUUCCCCCCAGGUUGGAGAUUCUGCCAACCGGCUCCGGUGGCUCGGUUGGGGUUUGCGAUCUCUUAAUUGCUACGUGUAAAAUAAAAGUUGUACCCUGAAGAGGUUACUCGACA